UGAAAGAAUGACGUGGUAAUGAGAGAAUUGGGGGCAGAUUCAAAUUGUAGGGUUAUUUCGAAAAUUUCAGAUUGAAAUGUUUUCAGAGAGAGAAGGUGGAGAACAUUUCACGGAGCACCGAACCUUCGAACCUUCGAGCCAGCCACCACAACUCUCGCCGGAUAUCCACCGCCAGUAGACGUUGUCGUUGCCGUUUUCGCUCCAUCCAGUGCCGUCGUAGUGCCGUCGGUGUCCGUUGUCUUCCACCCAGCCAGGCAGUUCGGAUUGCGGGUCGCCGCAGCUCCGGCGUCGGCAGACGAAUCGAAGACGGCAUCGUCUUCCCUCCGGCCUAGCCAACCAAGGGCGCAUUUUGAGUAUUGAUUCCUCCCACCCGCUUCCUUCCCUGUGCCGGACCCUUGCGGUGGCCGCCGGAGCAUCGCCGGAGUGUCGUCGAAGUGUCGCCGGACCCUUUCGAGGAGACUAGAAAUGAACAAAUUAUCUGAGGAUGUGUCUUCGUUUGUAAAUUGCCUUAGUCUUUCUUUGAUGUAAGUUCUAUCUUUUUUUAUUUUACUUUUGGAACAAUUUAGCAUUAUAGUUCUCUGGAAAGAUCAUAUAACUUUUACCUAACAGAUUGGUUAUUGACUUAAAAAUCUAUACUAAUGUAUCUUACAAAAAUUUAGUUGGUGUUAUUCC